UACGUAGGUGGCAAGCGUUAUCCGGAAUUAUUGGGCGUAAAGCGCGCGUAGGCGGUCUUUUAAGUCUGAUGUGAAAGCCCCCGGCUCAACCGUGGAAGGUCAUUGGAAACUGGGGAACUUGAGUGCAGAAGAGGAGAGUGGAAUUCCAUGUGUAGCGGUGAAAUGCGUAGAUAUAUGGAGGAACACCAGUGGCGAAGGCGACUCUCUGGUCUGUAACUGACGCUGAGGCUCGAAAGCGUGGGGAGCAAACAGGAUUAGAUACCCCGGUA
rnacentral:rRNA from 1 species